rnacentral:rRNA from 1 species
GAGCGGGAAAGUCCGCAAGGAUGAGUACAGCGGCGCACGGGUGCGUAACACGUGGGUAAUCUGCCCUGAAGCUCGGGAUAACUCGCCGAAAGGCGUGCUAAUACCGGAUAAGACCACGGGGGCCUCGGCUCCUGCGGGAAAAGGUGGCCUCUGCAUGCAAGCUAUCACUUCAGGAUGAGCCCGCGGCCCAUCAGCUCGUUGGCGGGGUAACGGCCCACCAAGGCUACGACGGGUAGCUGGUCUGAGAGGACGAUCAGCCACACUGGAACUGAGACACGGUCCAGACUCCUACGGGAGGCAGCAGUGGGGAAUCUUGCGCAAUGGGCGAAAGCCUGACGCAGCAACGCCGCGUGUGAGAUGAAGGUCUUCGGAUCGUAAAGCACUGUCGGGAGGGACGAAUAAGGGCCGGGUGAACAAUCCGGUUCGAUGACGGUACCUCCAAAGGAAGCACCGGCUAACUCUGUGCCAGCAGCCGCGGUAAUACAGAGGGUGCAAGCGUUGUUCGGAAUUAUUGGGCGUAAAGCGCGUGUAGGCGGUCUCGCAAGUCGGAUGUGAAAGCCCUCGGCUUAACCGAGGAAGUGCGUUCGAAACUACGAGACUUGAGUACCGGAGAGGGUGGCGGAAUUCCCGGUGUAGAGGUGAAAUUCGUAGAUAUCGGGAGGAACACCAGUGGCGAAGGCGGCCACCUGGACGGCUACUGACGCUGAGACGCGAAAGCGUGGGGAGCAAACA